rnacentral:rRNA from 1 species
GACGAACGCUGGCGGCGUGCUUAACACAUGCAAGUCGAACGGAAAGGCCUCUUUCGGGGGGUACUCGAGUGGCGAACGGGUGAGUAACACGUGAGUAACCUGCCCUUGACUUUGGGAUAACUUCAGGAAACUGGGGCUAAUACCGGAUAGGAGCUCCUGCUGCAUGGUGGGGGUUGGAAAGUUUCGGCGGUUGAGGAUGGACUCGCGGCUUAUCAGCUUGUUGGUGGGGUAGUGGCUUACCAAGGCUUUGACGGGUAGCCGGCCUGAGAGGGUGACCGGCCACAUUGGGACUGAGAUACGGCCCAGACUCCUACGGGAGGCAGCAGUGGGGAAUAUUGCACAAUGGGUGGAAGCCUGAUGCAGCAACGCCGUGUGCGGGAUGACGGCCUUCGGGUUGGAAACCGCUUUCGCUCAUGACGAAGCUUUGUGUGACGGUAGUGGGUAAAGAAGCACCGGCUAACUACGUG